rnacentral:ncRNA from 1 species
CCCUCGCCUUGUAGGCUAGGGCCACACACUCGCUUAUAGUGCCAAUAAUCUUCUGAUUAUCGGCUGUGAAAUUCAGCAGUGACAGUUAGUAGUUUAUUUUUUGCGAAAAUUGAAACUGCGGUGGAACACAGAAGGCUUGAUUAACUGAGCUGGAAUGU